GACGAGUCUCACAGGUGGAGGACAGGUCCCCGCGGCUCUCCGCUCUUGCCAAGGCCGGAGCUUGCUCCGCUGGGGAGUUUCGCUUCGCGCCGCGCUGGCUUCGUGGCCCGCUGCUGAGGCCAAAGGGGUUGGCAAUUCUGUAGUCUGAAAUCCCUGAAGAACAGAAACCCAAAGAAGACAGAGUAAAAGAGGAGAGAUCUGGGCUCAGGAACUGGAAAGAAAAAUAAAAGAAACAGCUCCAUCCUGUGGUCUAUAUUGUUAAUGGCAGGUGUGUGUAUUUGCUAGAGCAGAGUCAAUCAAUCUUUCUUUGCGGAAUGGUAAGAAAUUUGAGUUAUUUCGGGUAACUUUUUUUUUAUUAAAUCUUCUACACACACAUUACAAAUCUCAGGGCUUCCAUCAGUUUAUUUCACUUUCGCUUUUGAUUAUUUUCAAGACCCACACAGCAUAUACUGUGCUUAUACUGCCAGUACUCCAACACCCUAAAAAGCAAGUAGCUCUACCGAGUUUCACAAACUUUAAUCAUGUUAACUGUGCCAGAAAGGUCUGUGCCUGG